GUUGUAUGGUUAAGUGACUAAGCGUACACGGUGGAUGCCUUGGCAGUCAGAGGCGAUGAAAGACGUAGUAACUUGCGAUAAGCCCAGAUUAGGUAGUAACAACCAUUUGAGUCUGGGAUUUCUGAAUGGGGAAACCCACUAGCAUAAGCUAGUAUCAUUAACUGAAUACAUAGGUUAAUGAGGCGAACCGGGGGAACUGAAACAUCUAAGUACCCCGAGGAAAAGAAAUCAACCGAGAUUCCGAAAGUAGCGGCGAGCGAAAUUGGACUAGCCCUUAAGCUUUACACGCGUUAGACGAACGGUCUGGAAAGUCCGACGAUACAGGGUGAUAGUCCCGUAGUUGACGACGUGUGUUCAGUGAAAUCGAGUAGGGCGGGACACGUGAUAUCCUGUCUGAAUAUGGGGGGACCAUCCUCCAAGGCUAAAUACUACUGACUGACCGAUAGUGAACCAGUACCGUGAGGGAAAGGCGAAAAGAACCCCUGUGAGGGGAGUGAAAUAGAACCUGAAACCGUGUACGUACAAGCAGUAGGAGCAGGCUUGUCCUGUGACUGCGUACCUUUUGUAUAAUGGGUCAGCGACUUAUAUUCAGUGGCAAGGUUAACCAUCUAGGGGAGCCGUAGGGAAACCGAGUCUUAACUGGGCGUUCAGUCUCUGGAUAUAGACCCGAAACCAGGUGAUCUAGCCAUGGGCAGGUUGAAGGUUGAGUAACAUCAACUGGAGGACCGAACCGACUAAUGUUGAAAAAUUAGCGGAUGACUUGUGGCUAGGGGUGAAAGGCCAAUCAAACCUGGAGAUAGCUGGUUCUCCCCGAAAGCUAUUUAGGUAGCGCCUCGGACGAAUACUACUGGGGGUAGAGCACUGUUAAGGCUAGGGGGUCAUCCCGACUUACCAACCCUUUGCAAACUCCGAAUACCAGUAAGUACUAUCCGGGAGACACACGGCGGGUGCUAACGUCCGUCGUGGAGAGGGAAACAACCCAGACCGCCAGCUAAGGUCCCAAAUUACUACUAAGUGGGAAACGAUGUGGGAAGGCUCAGACAGCCAGGAUGUUGGCUUAGAAGCAGCCAUCAUUUAAAGAAAGCGUAAUAGCUCACUGGUCGAGUCGGCCUGCGCGGAAGAUGUAACGGGGCUAAGUAGUAAACCGAAGCUGCGGCAAUGUGCUUUUGCACAUUGGGUAGGGGAGCGUUCUGUAAGCGGUUGAAGGUGUGUGGUAACGCAUGCUGGACGUAUCAGAAGUGCGAAUGCUGACAUGAGUAACGAUAAAGGGGGUGAAAAACCUCCUCGCCGGAAGACCAAGGGUUCCUGUCCAACGUUAAUCGGGGCAGGGUAAGUCGACCCCUAAGGCGAGGCCGAAAGGCGUAGUCGAUGGGAAACGGGUUAAUAUUCCCGUACUUCUUACAAUUGCGAUGGGGGGACGGAGAAGGCUAGGUGGGCCUGGCGACGGUUGUCCAGGUUCAAGUGCGUAGGCUUAAGAGUUAGGUAAAUCCGGCUCUUUUUAAGGCUGAGACACGACGUCGAGCACCUACGGGUGUGAAGUCAUUGAUGCCAUGCUUCCAGGAAAAGCCUCUAAGCUUCAGAUUGUAAGGAAUCGUACCCCAAACCGACACAGGUGGUCGGGUAGAGAAUACCAAGGCGCUUGAGAGAACUCGGGUGAAGGAACUAGGCAAAAUGGUACCGUAACUUCGGGAGAAGGUACGCUCUCGACGGUGAAGUCCCUCGCGGAUGGAGCUAUUGAGAGUCGCAGAUACCAGGUGGCUGCAACUGUUUAUUAAAAACACAGCACUGUGCAAAAUCGUAAGAUGACGUAUACGGUGUGACGCCUGCCCGGUGCCGGAAGGUUAAUUGAUGGGGUUAGACUUCGGUCGAAGCUCUUGAUCGAAGCCCCGGUAAACGGCGGCCGUAACUAUAACGGUCCUAAGGUAGCGAAAUUCCUUGUCGGGUAAGUUCCGACCUGCACGAAUGGCGUAAUGAUGGCCACGCUGUCUCCACCCGAGACUCAGUGAAAUUGAAAUCGCUGUGAAGAUGCAGUGUACCCGCGGCUAGACGGAAAGACCCCGUGAACCUUUACUACAGCUUGGCACUGAACAUUGACCCUACAUGUGUAGGAUAGGUGGGAGGCUUUGAAGCACGUACGCCAGUAUGUGUGGAGCCGUCCUUGAAAUACCACCCUUGUAGUGUUGAUGUUCUAACGUCGACCCCUAAUCGGGGUUGCGGACAGUGCCUGGUGGGUAGUUUGACUGGGGCGGUCUCCUCCCAAAGAGUAACGGAGGAGCACGAAGGUGGGCUAAUCACGGUUGGACAUCGUGAGGUUAGUGCAAUGGCAUAAGCCCGCUUGACUGCGAGAAUGACAAUUCGAGCAGGUGCGAAAGCAGGUCAUAGUGAUCCGGUGGUUCUGAAUGGAAGGGCCAUCGCUCAACGGAUAAAAGGUACUCCGGGGAUAACAGGCUGAUACCGCCCAAGAGUUCAUAUCGACGGCGGUGUUUGGCACCUCGAUGUCGGCUCAUCACAUCCUGGGGCUGAAGUCGGUCCCAAGGGUAUGGCUGUUCGCCAUUUAAAGUGGUACGCGAGCUGGGUUUAGAACGUCGUGAGACAGUUCGGUCCCUAUCUGCCGUGGGCGUUGGAAGAUUGAAGGGGGCUGCUCCUAGUACGAGAGGACCGGAGUGGACGAACCUCUGGUGUUCGGGUUGUGUCGCCAGACGCAUUGCCCGGUAGCUAAGUUCGGAAUCGAUAACCGCUGAAAGCAUCUAAGCGGGAAGCGAGCCCUGAGAUGAGUCUUCCCUGAUACUUUAAGUAUCCUAAAGGGUUGUCGGAGACUACGACGUUGAUAGGUCAGGUGUGUAAGUGCUGUGAGGCAUUGAGCUAACUGAUACUAAUUGCCCGUGAGGCUUAACCAUACAACACCCAAGGGGUUU
rnacentral:rRNA from 1 species